rnacentral:piRNA from 1 species
UGCAAAUCUACCUGGUUCGCCUCCUCCGU